GACGAACGCUGGCGGCGCGCUUAACACAUGCAAGUCGAACGGAAAGGCCUGCUUUCCCUUGUGGAUUGCGGGUACUCGAGUGGCGAACGGGUGAGUAACACGUGAGUGAUCUGCCCCCAACUUGGGUAUAAGCCUGGGAAACUGGGUCUAAUUCCCGAUAGGGCUGCAGGGUGGUGCCUGUGGUGGAAAACGAUUUUCUAGUGGUUGGGGAUGAGCUCGCGGCCUAUCAGCUUGUUGGUGGGGUAAUGGCCUACCAAGGCGGCGACAGGUAGCCGGCCUGAGAGGGUGGACGGCCACAUUGGGACUGAGAUACGGCCCAGACUCCUACGGGAGGCAGCAGUGGGGAAUAGUGCACAAUGGGCGGAAGCCUGAUGCAGCGACGCCGCGUGGGGGAUGACGGCCUUCGGGUGGUAAACUCCUUUCGACCGCGAGGAAGCCACCUGGUUGGAAGGGUGGUGACGGUAGUGGUAGAAGAAGCACCGGCUAACUACGUG
rnacentral:rRNA from 1 species